GAAGGAAUUCCUGAGUGGUCAAAAGGAACAGACUGUAAAUCUGCUGCGAAAGCUUCAUAGGUUCGAAUCCUCUUUCCUUCA
rnacentral:tRNA from 1 species